AGUGUUGCAGUUUUGUUAUGCCAUGCUUUAAUUUUUUUAAUUUGGUUCUGAUUUAGAUACUAUUUUUUCGUUUAUUGGUUUUCUAUUUUUUUGUGUCCUUGUUUCAGUCAAAAGCUUUGGAAUCUAUUGCUAGUUAUGAGAUUGAUGUUGAUAAAAAGCUUCACAAAUCCAAACUUUUUAUUUGAACUAAAUUUUGGAGUGCCUGUGUGUGUGAAUGAUAUGAUUCACUUGAUACUUUUUACUUCAGAAGAAAGAUGAUAAAUUAAUGCCAUUUAUAGUUUCGAAUUGCCACCACCACAACUUUAAGAUGUAGUGAUGAGCUGAGAUGAAUUAAGAUGUCUUAUUCAGUAAUGCACAUGAAGUAAUCCCUCAACAAAGACUAUAAAUUCUUUAAAAUGAAUAUCCAUUAUGGGGUGUCAUUCCAGUAACCGUUUGUUCUGAUUCAGGGACAACUUUUACUACGUCUGUGAGAAAUUUGUAGAAACAUGGUUUUUGUUUGUCCUUAAAAUUCAGUAGGUCAUUUGAUGUUAUCUAAAAAGCAAUUUAAGGAUAUUUAUUUCACCCCUGCAAGUCUUUCCAUGAAGUGAAAUCAGAAAAGUAGAAAUAAUUUUUUGUACCAACAGGUAAUACUCAAUCUCUUGCAAAAAAAAAGGUAUUUUAUUUGUUCCUCAGAUCACUUCAACUAUAUAUUUUCUUAAAUUGCAUAGAGUGUCCUUAUUAACUGCUUCAUAGUUAGAAAACUUAAUACAUGAAAUAAAUUUCAUGAUGAGUACUCCGAGCAUGACUAUCUUUUAAUAUCAAUUGCCAGAUUCUUGAAUAUAAUUAUGUGUAAGGGAAAAUUCUGUCCUGAAAUGAUCUGGAAAUGAAAUUUUUACUUUUAGUAUAAGUCUUAUCUUCUGAAAAUACCAGGCAAUGCUUUAGCAUACGAUUCGUACAGGACCAGUAAGAUAUGCCUAACCCAAAGCAUCUGAUUCAGCAUUUUGCAGCACCAGUCCAGUUCAGUUAUUCCAUUUCCUUGAAAUGAUUUCAAGAUCCAUGCUUUGAUUUUGAAUUCUUAAGUAUAAAUAAACGUGUUUCGAUGGAGCUGAUAGUACGUUGUGAACAAGAAGGUAGAUAAGUAAGGUGUUAGUCCUUUUUGUGCGAAAAUGGCAUCACAAAAAGUUGAGAAACCUACUGGGCAGGUCAAGAAAGAGCCUGUUAAAGCUCCAGUCUCCAAACAGGCCCCUAAGAAGUCCGGGCAGAAGCCCCGGGAGCCUAAGAAGAAGGCAUCAGGUAGCUGUACACCAGGAAGCUGCACAAAGUCCGUGUAAUUUUUACUGAAGUUAUGUCAGCACUGGCUUGUGAAUGAUAUCUAUGUAUCUCUUCCUAGGCUUGGCCUAAAUGAAAUUAUAAUAAAAGAUACAUAUCUUUAAAAGAUAGUUGUGUCAAUUUCUCUUA